UUGAACGCUGGCGGCAGGCCUAACACAUGCAAGUCGAACGGUAACAGGAAGCAGCUUGCUGCUUCGCUGACGAGUGGCGGACGGGUGAGUAAUGUCUGGGAAACUGCCUGAUGGAGGGGGAUAACUACUGGAAACGGUAGCUAAUACCGCAUAACGUCGCAAGACCAAAGAGGGGGACCUUCGGGCCUCUUGCCAUCGGAUGUGCCCAGAUGGGAUUAGCUAGUAGGUGGGGUAACGGCUCACCUAGGCGACGAUCCCUAGCUGGUCUGAGAGGAUGACCAGCCACACUGGAACUGAGACACGGUCCAGACUCCUACGGGAGGCAGCAGUGGGGAAUAUUGCACAAUGGGCGCAAGCCUGAUGCAGCCAUGCCGCGUGUAUGAAGAAGGCCUUCGGGUUGUAAAGUACUUUCAGCGGGGAGGAAGGGAGUAAAGUUAAUACCUUUACUCAUUGACGUUACCCGCAGAAGAAGCACCGGCUAACUCCGUGCCAGCAGCCGCGGUAAUACGGAGGGUGCAAGCGUUAAUCGGAAUUACUGGGCGUAAAGCGCACGCAGGCGGUUUGUUAAGUCAGAUGUGAAAUCCCCGGGCUCAACCUGGGAACUGCAUCUGAUACUGGCAAGCUUGAGUCUCGUAGAGGGGGGUAGAAUUCCAGGUGUAGCGGUGAAAUGCGUAGAGAUCUGGAGGAAUACCGGUGGCGAAGGCGGCCCCCUGGACGAAGACUGACGCUCAGGUGCGAAAGCGUGGGGAGCAAACAGGAUUAGAUACCCUGGUAGUCCACGCCGUAAACGAUGUCGACUUGGAGGUUGUGCCCUUGAGGCGUGGCUUCCGGAGCUAACGCGUUAAGUCGACCGCCUGGGGAGUACGGCCGCAAGGUUAAAACUCAAAUGAAUUGACGGGGGCCCGCACAAGCGGUGGAGCAUGUGGUUUAAUUCGAUGCAACGCGAAGAACCUUACCUGGUCUUGACAUCCACGGAAGUUUUCAGAGAUGAGAAUGUGCCUUCGGGAACCGUGAGACAGGUGCUGCAUGGCUGUCGUCAGCUCGUGUUGUGAAAUGUUGGGUUAAGUCCCGCAACGAGCGCAACCCUUAUGGUCAGUUACUACGCAAGAGGACUCUGGCAGGACUGCCGUUGACAAAACGGAGGAAGGUGGGGAUGACGUCAAAUCAUCAUGCCCCUUAUGAUUUGGGCUACACACGUGCUACAAUGGCGCAUACAAAGAGAAGCGACCUCGCGAGAGCAAGCGGACCUCAUAAAGUGCGUCGUAGUCCGGAUUGGAGUCUGCAACUCGACUCCAUGAAGUCGGAAUCGCUAGUAAUCGUGGAUCAGAAUGCCACGGUGAAUACGUUCCCGGGCCUUGUACACACCGCCCGUCACACCAUGGGAGUGGGUUGCAAAAGAAGUAGGUAGCUUAACCUUCGGGAGGGCGCUUACCACUUUGUGAUUCAUGACUGGGGUG
rnacentral:rRNA from 1 species